AAAUCGUAACAAGGUCUCCGUUGGUGAACCAGCGGAGGGAUCAUUACUGAGUACUACACUCUCUACCCUUUGUGAACUAUUAUACCUGUUGCUUCGGCGGCGCCCGCGAGGGUGCCCGCCGGUCUCAUCAGAAUCUCUGUUUUCGAACCCGACGAUACUUCUGAGUGUUCUUAGCGAACUGUCAAAACUUUUAACAACGGAUCUCUUGGCUCCAGCAUCGAUGAAGAACGCAGCGAAACGCGAUAUGUAAUGUGAAUUGCAGAAUUCAGUGAAUCAUCGAAUCUUUGAACGCACAUGGCGCCUUCCAGUAUCCUGGGAGGCAUGCCUGUCCGAGCGUCGUUUCAACCCUCGAGCCCCCGUGGCCCGGCGUUGGGGAUCUGCCACGGCAGGCCCCUAAAACCAGUGGCGGACCCGAAGGCCCUCUCCUUUGCGCAGUAGCAUCAGCCUCGCAUUGGGAUCCCUCGGCGUCCUGCCUCUAAACCCCCCACAAGUCCGCUCCGGCGGCACCAAGGUUGACCUCGGAUCAGGUAGGAAUACCCGCUGAACUUAA
rnacentral:rRNA from 1 species